GUUUAGUGUUCUUCGCGAAUGGGUUCUUCUCAGAGAAAUGCAUAUAUUGACAUAUACAUACAUUCAUAUGCACACAUACAUACAUUCAUAUGCAUACAUUCAUACAUACAUACAUAUGCACACAUUAUACAUACAUACAUACAUACAUUCUAAGAGGUCACAACAAGAUCAGUGGUUAUUGCCACUUCUAAUUGCGGUAGUCAGGCAGAUCAAGGUCAGAUGUUUGUGAAAGAGACAUCUUGUGACAACUGUACUACUGGGUGUGAUGACUCCACCAUCAAGUAUUCUCAUGGGAAAUCAUCAUCAUAUGGGGCUUCAGCUAGGUUGGUGAACGAUAGCUAAUUUUAGUAAAUCUUACAGUGUUGGUGCGUGUAAUUAGAUAAACUGCUGUCAGAUCAAGCCGUUCACCUUGUAGAAGGUUUGGAAUUAGAUAAACUGAACGAGAAGUUUUUACCAAUCAAAGACACUCAUCAGGUCUGUGUUCCAUAACAGCAUCUCAACAGGCAAUUCACCUUUUCAGGCAACACUACCUCUAAACUUUUUCCCUUACGAUCUCUAUUAUUUACCCUUUAUAUGUACUUUCAAGAGUUCUUGAGCCCAAACAGGUUCCAAUAACAGUCUUACUUACCGCUUCCAUAGUAGGAUGCUCCUGGGGAUAAACUACAUCUCCCUCAGAUCAAAUCAGGAACUAACAUUAGAAACACUCCUACAUAGUCACAGACUAGUUUCUGAAAAUAACAGGUCCAUCUCGGAUGGAACUUUAAAAUGGCAGAGACACAACUAGAGUCCUUCAGCCAGGAAACAUGUUUGGCCUCAAAAGAUGCCAGGCCCUUUGAUUUGCUAAAAAAAAAGCUCAUGUUAAGAUUAGAUACACUCUGAAUCCAUAUUCUAAAGACUUAUGAAGAGGAAUGGUUUUAUAUCCCAGUCGGUGGGUCCUUGCCAAACACUGAACAAAAGAAUCUCGCCGUUGGUCUGCAGCAAUUGAAGGAACCCUUUCCACUGCAGAAUUCUAGUGAAAAGAGUUAUUUUUUGCUCUGAUUGUGAUGAACAUAGUGGUAUACGUUUCGUGACGUAAAAGCAAACGGGAGACAAAGAAAGAGAAUUUAAUCCAAAAAGCUCAAGACAUGGGGAAGGAACGGACGGAGGAACUUAGCUUCAAACUACACUGAUGCCAAUAAUGGAAGAAGUGCAGCUUUUAAAAGGCAGAGUGGAGCUAAUCACAUAAUAAGAGGUCUUAGAAAUGCUUCGCCUGCUCCUAUCAAAGCAACAAUCGAGACAAUACCUUGUUCCAUAAAGGAGUCUAACCCUGUAAUUCCCCCAAGUGGAGUUAGAAACCGAAAUAUUACAGAAGAACACACUCCCUUCAAGUCUACAUCUUCGUCUGAUGAUCUUACUGAGCUGAAGAAGCCUAAAGCAACUGAAAAUGAACCUUAUCAGAUUUUUUUGUGCGAAUCAAUAUCCAAGAAAGAAAUUGCAGUGAAGAAGAGCGCAAAUUGUUUGCAGUUUGGUGUUAUACAAAGUUUUGAAUUCUCUGUACUUUUGGUUUGUUUUUUAUGUUAUAUAGAUUGAUUAGAUCUAAACUGUGAUUUAAUUUGCCAGGAUGCAGCUAAUAUUGUUUUGAAUAAACCUCAUGGUAUGGCUGUUCAAGGAGGAACUGGGGUCAAAGCCAGUAUUGAUGAACUAUAUGCUGCCACUUGCUUGACUUUUGAUAAAUCAGAAUCUCCUCAGCUGUAGGUGCACAGACUUGACAGAGACUGUAGUGGACUUUUGGUGUUGGGAAGAACACAAACGGCUGCAACGCCUUUUCAUUGUAUAUUCCUCGAGAAAACAACUGGUUAGUGUCGCAUAUGUAAAACCUCUCCAGCAUGCUAUCACUGAAUACCGAGUGAUUGAAUUUUCACCACUUGGUAUGCUUCAUCGUCCCUCAAUGAACAGGGACUACAUAGAGUGAUGGCUUGUCAUAGGUGAAGAACCUGUGAUGGCUCAAUGAACAGGGACUACACCGUCCUCUUUCCUUUGGUGUCUCAAGGAGUCUUGGUAUCUUCUCUCAGUUUCUGUUGCAGUGAAUUCAAGUCCCAUCUCAGAAUUAUAGUUGGAGCAAUCAAAUUUCUUUUCAAUUUCCUAGUUCACAGAAAUGCGAAAUGAUGGUUAUUAGAAGUAUCAGAGUCAAAAUUCCUCUGGAAAUCAGCACAGAAGAAAGUCGUAGAAUCAUUACAGAUUCUGUCAAGAGAUUGAAUUUAUAACUUAGCUCUUGAGGAGGUGUGUGACGUGUGUCUCGUAUCUUAGCUCGAAAGUUGGGAGCAUAACAGAAGCUCCUGAUGGCCUUAGGUUUAUUUCCUGUGAAAAAACACCAUUGUUCCGUGCAGCUCUUGCCGUACGAAGUUGGAAGACGUAGAGUGUCCCUGUUCAAGCUGCAUAUGGCUAGAGGUGGAGGUAUAGUAUGAAUCUUUUGAGACUGUUCUGUUUGAAAACUUCAAGUGGAAGACAGUCCGUAUGAUCCAGAGCAGAUGGUUUGCAUGAAUUACGGAGAGUAUGCGAACCAGAAAGUUAGGAGCUUAGAAGCUGAGUAUCCAACGUUUCUGUACGCCAUGCCUAUGACAAAGACAAAAGUGUUAUUUGAGGAGACAUGUCUACCCUCAAAAGAUGUCAUCAUGCCCAUUGAUUUGCUAAAAACGAAGCUCAUGUUAAGAGUCGGUGGUUCCUUGCCAAAAGAAUCUCGCCUUUGGUGCUGCAGCUAGCAUGGUACAUCCAUCCCACAACAGGCUAUUCAGUUAAUGGUCAGAUACUCCGCCCAGGUGAUGUGUUGGCUCUGCCAAGAAACCUGCACCAAAACUCAUGAAAAAAUAU